AGCAGCCGCGGUAAUUCCAGCUCCAAUAGCGUAUAUUAAAGUUGUUGCGGUUAAAAAGCUCGUAGUUGAAUUUCGGGAUCAAUACGUUGGUCGUGCUUUCGGGUACGUACUGGCGUCAUUGGUUUCUCUCUUCUGACGAACCAUGAUGUCAUUAGUUUGGUGUUAUGGGGAGUUAGGACUGUUACUUUGAAAAAAUUAGAGUGUUUAAAGCAGGCAUUAGCUUGAAUACAUUAGCAUGGAAUAAUGAAAUAGGACGUUUGAUCCUAUUUUGUUGGUUUCUAGGGUCGACGUAAUGAUUAAUAGGGAUAGUUGGGGGCAUUAGUAUUCAAUUGUCAGAGGUGAAAUUCUUGGAUUUAUUGAAGACUAACUACUGCGAAAGCAUUUGCCAAGGAUGUUUUCAUUAAUCAAGAACGAAAGUUAGGGGAUCGAAGACGAUCAGAUACCGUCGUAGUCUUAACCAUAAACUAUGCCGACUAGGGAUCGGAUGAUGUUAAUUUUUUAAUGACUCAUUCGGCGCCUU
rnacentral:rRNA from 1 species